GAUGAACGCUGGCGGCGUGCCUAAUACAUGCAAGUCGAGCGAACGGACGAGAAACUUGCUUCUCUGAUGUUAGCGGCGGACGGGUGAGUAAAACGUGGAUAACCUACCUAUAAGACUGGGAUAACUUCGGGAAACCGGAGCUAAAACCGGAUAAUAUUUUGAACCGCAUGGUUCAAAAGUGAAAGACGGUCUUGCUUCCACUUAUAGAUGGAUCCGCGCUGCAUUAGCUAGUUGGUAAGGUAACGGCUUACCAAGGCAACGAUGCAUAGCCGACCUGAGAGGAUGAUCGGCCACACUGGAACUGAGACACGGUCCAGACUCCUACGGGAGGCAGCAGUAGGGAAUCUUCCGCAAUGGGCGAAAGCCUGACGGAGCAACGCCGCGUGAAUGAUGAAGGUCUUCGGAUCGUAAAACUCUGUUAUUAGGGAAGAACAUAUGUGUAAGUAACUGUGCACAUCUUGACGUUACCUAAUCAGAAAGCCACGGCUAACUACGUG
rnacentral:rRNA from 1 species